UACAGGGGGUGCAAACGUUGCUCGGAAUCAUUGGGCGUAAAGCGCACGUAGGCGGUUCGUUAUGUCGGAUGUGAAAGCCCUUGGCUUAACCGAGGAAGUGCAUCCGAAACUGGCGAGCUAGAGUACGAAAGAGGAUCGCGGAAUUCCCGGUGUAGAGGUGAAAUUCGUAGAUAUCGGGAGGAACACCGGUGGCGAAGGCGGCGAUCUGGGUCGAUACUGACGCUGAGGUGCAAAAGCGUGGGGAGCAAACAGG
rnacentral:rRNA from 1 species